rnacentral:rRNA from 1 species
GAAAAACUNGGNNAAUAGGUGCUAAUACCGCAUAAGCGCACGGCUCCGCAUGGGGCAGUGUGAAAAACUCCGGUGGUAUNUNAUGGAUCCGCGUCUGAUUAGCUAGUUGGCGGGGUAACGGCCCACCAAGGCAGCGAUCAGUAGCCGGCCUGAGAGGGUGGACGGCCACAUUGGGACUGAGACACGGCCCAAACUCCUACGGGAGGCAGCAGUGGGGAAUAUUGCACAAUGGNGGANACCCUGAUGCAGCGACGCCGCGUGAGUGAAGAAGUAUCUCGGUACGUAAAGCUCUAUCAGCAGGGAAGAAAAUGACGGAACCUGACCAAGAAGCCCCGGCUAACUACGUGCCAGCAGCCGCNNCNNUACGUAGGGGGCAAGCGUUAUCCGGAUUUACUGGGUGUAAAGGGAGCGUANACGGNAGCACAAGUCUGGAGUGAAAUCCCGGGGCUUAACCCCGGAACUGCUUUGGNAACUGUGCGGCUGGANUGCAGGAGGGGUAAGCNGANUUCCUAGUGUANCGNUGAAAUGCGUAGAUAUUAGGAGGAACNCCNGUGGNGANGGCGGCUUACUGGACUGUNANUGACGUUGAGGCUGAAAGCGUGGGGAGNAAACAGGAUUAGAUACCCUGUUAGUCNNCGCUGUAAACGAUGGAUNCUAUGUGU